GACGUAGGGGGCGAGCGUUGUCCGGAUUUAUUGGGCGUAAAGCGUGCGUAGGCGGCUGCGCAAGUCGGUUGUGAAACCCCGGGGCUCAACCCCGGAACUGCAUCCGAUACUGCGUGGCUAGAGGUAGGUAGGGGAGAUCGGAAUUCCUGGUGUAGCGGUGAAAUGCGCAGAUAUCAGGAGGAACACCGGUGGCGAAGGCGGGUCUCUGGGCCGAUACUGACGCUGAGGAGCGAAAGCAUGGGUAGCGAACAGG
rnacentral:rRNA from 1 species